AACAAGCUUGCUUGUUGGGGUUGUAGGACACUCUAUACGGAGUUACAAAGGACGACAUUAGACGAAUCAUCUGGAAAGAUGAAUCAAAGAAGGUAAUAAUCCUGUAGUCGAAAAUGUUGUCUCUCUUGAGUGGAUCCUGAGUACGACGGAGCACGUGAAAUUCCGUCGGAAUCUGGGAGGACCAUCUCCUAAGGCUAAAUACUCUCUAGUGACCGAUAGUGAACCAGUACCGUGAGGGAAAGGUGAAAAGCACCCCGGAAGGGGAGUGAAAUAGAACCUGAAACCGUGUGCUUACAAGUAGUCAGAGCCCGUUAAUGGGUGAUGGCGUGCCUUUUGUAGAAUGAACCGGCGAGUUACGAUUUGAUGCAAGGUUAAGCAGUAAAUGUGGAGCCGUAGCGAAAGCGAGUCUGAAUAGGGCGUUUAGUAUUUGGUCGUAGACCCGAAACCAGGUGAUCUACCCUUGGUCAGGUUGAAGUUCAGGUAACACUGAAUGGAGGACCGAACCGACUUACGUUGAAAAGUGAGCGGAUGAACUGAGGGUAGCGGAGAAAUUCCAAUCGAACCUGGAGAUAGCUGGUUCUCUCCGAAAUAGCUUUAGGGCUAGCCUCAAGUGAUGAUUAUUGGAGGUAGAGCACUGUUUGGACGAGGGGCCCCUCUCGGGUUACCGAAUUCAGACAAACUCCGAAUGCCAAUUAAUUUAACUUGGGAGUCAGAACAUGGGUGAUAAGGUCCGUGUUCGAAAGGGAAACAGCCCAGACCACCAGCUAAGGUCCCAAAAUAUAUGUUAAGUGGAAAAGGAUGUGGCGUUGCCCAGACAACUAGGAUGUUGGCUUAGAAGCAGCCAUCAUUUAAAGAGUGCGUAAUAGCUCACUAGUCGAGUGACACUGCGCCGAAAAUGUACCGGGGCUAAACAUAUUACCGAAGCUGUGGAUUGUCCUUUGGACAAUGGUAGGAGAGCGUUCUAAGGGCGUUGAAGCAUGAUCGUAAGGACAUGUGGAGCGCUUAGAAGUGAGAAUGCCGGUGUGAGUAGCGAAAGACGGGUGAGAAUCCCGUCCACCGAUUGACUAAGGUUUCCAGAGGAAGGCUCGUCCGCUCUGGGUUAGUCGGGUCCUAAGCUGAGGCCGACAGGCGUAGGCGAUGGAUAACAGGUUGAUAUUCCUGUACCACCUAUAAUCGUUUUAAUCGAUGGGGGGACGCAGUAGGAUAGGCGAAGCGUGCGAUUGGAUUGCACGUCUAAGCAGUAAGGCUGAGUAUUAGGCAAAUCCGGUACUCGUUAAGGCUGAGC
rnacentral:rRNA from 1 species